CUUUGCCAGUGGCUAAUUUUCAUUCAUUUAAAAAAUAAAUAAAAAACAAUGACAUAAAGUUAAGACCUUGCGUUACAAAACCGUUGAUUGUACAAUCAAAUCAUUACCAACAUUUUGGACAACAGAUAUAAUUUUGAAUACACGUAAAUGUAUGCAAAUUCCAGCUUUUGAGUGCCAAGGUUUUUUACAAGAAAAAGCUAGAAAUAAACAAGAAACAAAAAGAAAAAAAAAACAAAAACCAAAACAUAUACUUAACGAUGUGAAAAUGUGCAAAACAAAGCAUUUGCUUAAAUACCAGCAAUUAGGCACGCACCCGCACAAGAAAACAUUGUCUUUGCGAAUUGGCCACAUUCAAGUGACAUUUCAAUGGAGUCGCCAAAUGAUUUAAUUAAACAACAAUUUUUAUACACACAUGAGAAAUGUCAAUGCCCAGCGGAAACUUGAUUCGGCCAACAAGCCACCACCUUGGCAUUUAAAAUGUGGCAAAGUGCAAAAAACAAGCUGCACAACAGGAAGAUCGAAAAACAAAAAAAGCCCGUUCAAAUUUCUUAAUAGAAGCGCCAAAAGCCUCAAAAAUAAAGCAACAAAAACCUCGAAACAAAAAUAAACAAGUUGGAGCCACAGAUUAAAUGUUAAUAGUAACGGGCUCUCCAAACUCUGAAGCCGGCAAACAGCAAACAACAAAAAAAAUAAAGAAAAACCGGAUUUGUGGCACAGAACAA